rnacentral:rRNA from 1 species
GACGAACGCUGGCGGCGUGCUUAACACAUGCAAGUCGAACGGAAAGGCCCCUUUGGGGGUCCUCGAGUGGCGAACGGGUGAGUAACACGUGAGUAACCUGCCCUUGACUUCGGGAUAACUUCAGGAAACUGGGGCUAAUACCGGAUAGGAAUCCUUGCUGCAUGGUGGGGGAUGGAAAGCUUCGGCGGUUUUGGAUGGACUCGCGGCUUAUCAGCUUGUUGGUGGGGUAGUGGCUUACCAAGGCUUUGACGGGUAGCCGGCCUGAGAGGGCGACCGGCCACAUUGGGACUGAGAGACGGCCCAGACUCCUACGGGAGGCAGCAGUGGGGAAUAUUGCACAAGGGGCGGAAGCCUGAUGCAGCAACGCCGCGUGCGGGAUGACGGCCUUCGGGUUGUAAACCGCUUUCAGCAGGGGCGAAGCUUGUGGUGACGGUACCUGCAGAAGAAGCACCGGCUAACUACGUG